CUCUUUCUCCUCCUCGUUCUGUUCUUCGUCUGUGAGAGACCUUUAUUAUGAGAGUGAGAAUUUAUUGAGAGAAUAAGUGAUGAGGUUGUACAGAUGAUGAGAAACUAAGGUUGUUGUCGAUUAAGCUCAAGCCGAAGAGAAGAUGUGAGUUAGAGAAAGAAAUUAGGUCUCUAAGAAAUGAGUUUCGGUUGAGGAUUUAGGCUGUUUUGAGGAUGAAGUUAAGUAAUUAGUUAUGGGUAUCGUGAGCUGAUAGCAAGGAAGAAGACUAAUUAUUGGUUUUCAGUUCUCGGUGAAGAAUCAAGGAGUUAGGGUUUCUUUUGAUAGAAGUUAGAAUUCAAUCUGGUGAUGAAUAAGAAGAAAUUGAAGGAUGGGUUUUGAAGAUUAUGAAGUCAAUAAGAAGUUAAUGAUGUUAAUUUGAAGAUUUAGUUAUGAAGAAGGUAAGGUUUGAGAAAUUAGGGUUUCUGUUCUUCCCCAAAUUGAAGAAUUUAUGGUUCUUGAGUUAAUUGAAUCACAUAUGAUGAAAUACAGGAUAUAAAUGAUUGGUUUGAAGUGGGUUUAACCUGAAUUGGAGAAUGAUGUUGAAGAAUAACUCGAAUUUGAGGAUAAGGGUCUGAUUCUGUUUUGAUGAAGGAUUGCGGGAAGUUGGUUGUGGUGAACUGACAGCUAAGGGAGGAGAUUGUGAUCAAAUGCUUGAAUAGAAUCAUUUAGAGGUAAUUGUUCUUCUCAGCUAACUUUACAAUGUUAUCUAUUUUCAUUAAUGAGUUUUGAGUUAUGAGAUGUUAUUGAGGAUGGAAUGAAAUUGAGAUUGAGAUACUUAUAGAACGGAACUGUGAUUAUGAUGAGAAGAUAUUGGUUUUCUGAAGUUGUUAUUGAAGUUGGGUAGAAUAUGAUUGCCUGUGUAUUAAAUUGUAAGUGCUAUGAGUUGUCUUCCUGUAUGACUGUAUUGAAUUGUGAUGCAGGAGAUACUGUAAUUGAAGUAAGGUUCUGUGGUUGUUGUUAAUUCUGGGAUGAAUUGAUGAAACUAUGUUGAAUGUGCAGAAUUAUUUGAGAUUGUGGUUUGUUUGAAUGGAUAAUGAUUGUGUUGAGAUUGGUAUGGCAGUAUUGUGAAGUUGGAAAAUGAAUAUAUAUAAAUGAUGAUGAAGCUAAGACUGGGCUUAGUUUGGAUAGAUGUGGUGGUGGCUGUGUAUGGUUGUAUUACAGUUAGUGGUGCAAGUAGUGGUUAUAUGUGCUGGGAAGAACUGGGAAUUGUUAUGUUGCAGGUAAAGGUGUUUAACUGAAGUGAUUUCAGUUGAUGGGUUGGUUAUGAAUUAGAGAGUGGUGAAACUGAGAUUUAACUUAGUUUGAUGGUGCUGCACUGCUGCCUGUGAAUUUGUGAUGCUGUUGUAGAUUGAAGUUGAGUUGGUUGUGUUGAACAUGUUGAGUUGAAUUUCUCUAAUGGAAGCUUAGAGCUGCAUUUGCAGGAUGAACCAGUGGAUCGUGGGUCUCGAGGUAGGCGUGACUUGUCAUCAAAAGAGUUUCAGAGAUAGAUCAGAGUUGCGCAGCGAAAGCUCCGAGAAGUUGACUUCGUUAGCUGGUUAUAUUCUGAUAUGUUUAUUAUGUUGUAUAUUCUAUUUGUAAACCAAAUGACUAUUGUAUAUGUAUCAUUUGAGAGGAGUUCUUGUAUAUAUA